rnacentral:rRNA from 1 species
GGAGGAUGCAAGCGUUAUCCGGAAUGAUUGGGCGUAAAGCGUCCGCAGGUGGCUGUGUAAGUCUGCUGUUAAAGAGUGAGGCUCAACCUCAUAAGAGCAGUGGAAACUACAUAGCUAGAGUGCGUUCGGGGCAGAGGGAAUUCCUGGUGUAGCGGUGAAAUGCGUAGAUAUCAGGAAGAACACCGGUGGCGAAAGCGCUCUGCUAGGCCGCAACUGACACUGAGGGACGAAAGCUAGGGGAGCGAAUGGG